rnacentral:rRNA from 1 species
AUGGUAGCGAGCAAGAUGAUGAUGGCGAAGGAGGCGAUCCCAUUGCUGACGCCGCACAAGAUAGGGCGGUUCGAGCUCUCCCACCGGGUGGUGCUCGCGCCGCUCACGCGCUGCCGCUCCUACACCAACGUGCCGCAGCCGCACGCCGCGCUGUACUACUCGCAGCGGGCGACGGAGGGCGGCCUGCUCGUCGCGGAGGCCACUGGCGUCUCCGCCACCGCGCAGGGGUACCCGGAGACGCCCGGCGUCUGGACGCAGCAGCAGGUCGACGCCUGGAAGCCCAUCGUCGACGCCGUCCACCGCAAGGGCGCUCUCUUCUUCUGUCAGCUUUCGCACGUCGGGAGGGUCUCCACGAAUGAUUUCCAGCCAGAUGGACAGGCGCCGAUCUCCAGCACCGACAAACAGAUAACACCCGAUGCUGAGUCCGGCAUGGUUUACUCCAAGCCCCGGCAGUUUCAAACAGAGGAGAUACCAUUGAUCGUCGAUGACUUCAGACGCGUUGCCCGGAAUGCCAUCGAGUCGGGGUUCGACGGUGUUGAGAUCCACCGGGCACAUGGGUACCUAUUGGAGCAGUUCAUGAAAGACAGCUCUAACGAUCGCACCGACGAGUAUGGUGGAAACCUCGAGAACCGGUGCCGUUUUGCAGUGGAGGUAAUUGAUGCUAUUGUCCAUGAGAUUGGUGCCGAUCGCGUAGGAAUCAGGUUGUCUCCAUUUGUGGAUUACAUGGAUUGCUUCGACUCUGAUCCACAUGCACUCGGAAUGUACAUGGUGCAACAACUCAACAAACAUCAAGGGUUUGUCUAUUGCCAUAUGGUAGAGCCGCGGAUGGCCAUUGUGGAUGGCCGCAGUCAGAUACCCCAUGGGCUCUUGCCCUUCAGGAAAUCAUUCAACGGCACUUUCAUUGCCGCCGGAGGUUCACACAAGAUGGUAGCGAGCAAGAUGAUGGUGGCGAAGGAGGCGAUCCCACUGCUGACGCCGCACAAGAUGGGGCGGUUCGAGCUCUCACACCGGGUGGUGCUCGCGCCGCUCACGCGCUGCAGCUCCUAUGCCAACGUGCCACAGCCGCACGCCGCGGCGUACUACUCGCAGCGGGCCACCAGGGCGGCCUCCUCAUCGCCGAGGCCACCGGCGUCUCCGCCACCGCGCAGGGGUACCCGGAGACACCCGGCAUCUGGACGCAGCAGCAGGUCGACGCCGUCCACCGCAAGGGCGCUCUCUUCUUCUGUCAGCUUUGGCACGUCGGGAGUGUCUCCACCAACGGCGCCGAUCUCCAGCACUGACAAGCAGAUAACGCCUGAUGCCGAGUCUGGUAUGGUCUACUCCAAACCCCGACAGCUUCAAACGGACGAGAUACCACUGAUCGUUGAUGACUUCAGACGCGCUGCCAGAAACACAAUCGAGGCGGGGUUCGAUGGCGUGGAGAUCCACGGGGCACACGGGUACCUAUUGGAGCAGUUCAUGAAAGACAACUCUAACGACCGCACCGACGAGUAUGGUGGCAGCCUUGAGAACCGAUGCCGCUUUGCAGUGGAGGUAAUUGAUGGUAUCGUCUAUGAGAUUGGUGCGGAUCGUGUAGGCAUCAUGUUGUCUCCAUUCGUGGACUACAUGGACUGCUUCGACUCCGACCCACAUACACUCGGGAUGUACAUGGUACAACAACUUAACAAGCAUCAAGGAUUUGUCUAUUGCCAUAUGGUAGAGCCGCGGAUGGCCAUUGUGGAUGGCCACAAGCAGAUGCCCCACGGGCUCCUGCCCUUCAGGAAAGCAUUCAAGGGCACUUUCAUUGCCGCUGGAGGGUAUGAUCAGGAGGAAGGCAACAAAGUGGUGGCCGACGGCUAUGCUGAUCUCGUUGGUUACGGGAGGAUCUUUCUGGCUAAUCCAGAUUUGCCUAUGAGAUUCGAGCUCGACUCACCAUUGAACAAGUACGACCGCAACACUUUCUACACGCAUGAUCCUGUCAUUGGCUACACAGAUUAUCCUUUCCUUGAAGGCUCGAAUGCCGAGAAGCUUCUCCUGGCUUGUUCCCGUCGCCAGACGCUAAUGUGCCGCGAGCACCAAGCCUUCCAUGGGGCACGCGGGUACCUAUUGGAGCAGUUCAUGAAAGACAGCUCUAACGAUCGCACCGACGGGUACGGUGGCAGCCUCGAGAACCGGUUCCGCUUUGCGGUGGAGGUAAUUGAUGCUAUCGUUCAUGAGAUUGGUGCGGAUUGUGUCGGAAUCAGAUUGUCUCCAUUCAUGGACUACAUGGACUGUUUCGACUCUGAUCCACAUGCCCUCGGCAUGCAGAUACCCCACGGGCUCUUCCCCUUCAAGAAAGCAUUCAACGGCACUUUCAUUGUCGCUGGAGGGUAUGAUCGAGAGGAAGGCAACAAAGUGGUGGCCGACGGCUAUGUUGAUCUUGUUGCUUACGGGAGGAUCUUUCUGGCUAAUCCAGAUUUGCCAAAGAGAUUUGAGCUCGACUCACCAUUGAACAAGUACGACCGCAACACUUUCUACACGCAAGAUUCUGUCAUUGGCUACACAGAUUAUCCUUUCCUUGAAGGCUCGAAUGCCGAGUAG